GGAGUGGUAGCUCAGCCGGUUAGAGCGCCUGCCUGUCACGCAGGAGGUCGAGGGUUCAAGUCCCUUUCACUCCG
rnacentral:tRNA from 1 species